CUUGCUGAUGCACAUCCUCAGGCUCCUGCCGCUCUGUCAGUGUUGCGCUACUGUGGACCUGGCGCGAGCAGUGCAAUAUUGAAAGAGCAGCAGUGGCCCGAGCACAGUCGACUAGUACGU
rnacentral:pre_miRNA from 17 species